GCUGGGUGUGGUGGCACACACCUGUAAUCCCUGCAACUCAGGAGGUUGAGGCAGGAGGAUCAUGAGUUCAAAGCCAGCCUCAG
rnacentral:sRNA from 1 species